rnacentral:snoRNA from 1 species
GGUCAUAUAAGUAGAAACCACUGAGUGAAUCUUACCAGAAAAGUGAAUGGCCAUUCUUGGUUACUCUGUAGCACAGAAUUAUUCCUGGCUUCUUUCUGUUGCACAGCUGACUUGUAGCAUUCUGCUGCUAUAGUGUGAGGUGAGAAACAUGA